rnacentral:misc_RNA from 1 species
UGAGCCGCAGAUAUCAUGUUUUGGUAAAUAAUAAUCACAGUGGACAAUUCAUCUCUCAGCUUGGAAAAAGAAAAUAAGAUAACAAGAAUAGCCAUAUUUUCAUGAAUACUCAUGAUCUCCCAUCUGUGAUCUUAGAUACAAGCAAGUUCCUAGAGUUCUAACUUCUAAGAUAAGCAGUGAUACCAGGAAAAAGCUCAGUUUUCCCUGCCUACAUCCAAAGA